UUAAAGAUUUUUUUACUGAAUUGGGAUGCUUUGCCUGCAUUUAAAGUGGAUAUUGUUGAUUGAUAAGUGUUGACAGUUACUAGCGUUGUUGAUGUUUCAUAGUAUUUUUUUGGUAGCUCACAACCUCAUGUAGUGCUUGAGAAAACCUGAGAAUAUUGAGAAGCUUCGUGCUGCGAGUGCGAGGAGAUGAAAAAGUACUUCUCUCACUGCAAGGUACGAUCAUCAGUUAGUGUCUACAAUCUUCUUUCUCGGAAAAUAGGGGAUUUAUAUCAGCGUGCCAUCACUGCAAGGAAUCAACACCGUCUCAAGGGCGGCAACAGCGGAUACAGAACAACUGAUGCGGCCUGAAGUGGACCUCAUUCAACCUUAAUUCCAGGAUAACUUUUCUUUUUGUUGCUCAAUAAAAGGAAUAUCCCUCUUCAUAAAUCUAUUAUUUCGCUUUCCCAUGAAGCUGUAGUUCUCUCCAAAUAAUUUUGAGAUUACACUAAGCAGAAGCUGCUAAACAUGCCGUGGAAGCUGAUGCAAAAUCAAACAGUAAAGAGGAGGUUGCUUUGUGUUGCCAUUGUUGUAUGAAUAUAGUGCGACCUUCUGCUAUUGUAUGAAGAAAAGUAUGUGCAUAACUGCAUACUUGCAGGAAUAGAAGAUAGAUAAAUAUGACCUUGCGUACAGAUUGUUGUGUAGAUAAAACUGACCUUGCUUACAGAUUUUGUUGUAUGUAUUUUUUUGUAUAGUUGACCGAGAUAGAUAGAAUAUGGUAGAAUAAAGAGGUGCAGAUUGUUGUAUGGCCAUAUUGUACAUGGUGAUCAUUGUUGUAUUUAUUUUACAUAGAUAGAAUAAUGAUGUAGAUAUAGAGGGUUUUCGCAUAUGUACCAAUUUUCAUAGGAACUAUGAUUAUGUAUGACUGGUAUAUGGUGCACAAAUCAGUCAUAUACUCAUUUA